rnacentral:lncRNA from 1 species
CUUAUUUCAAAAAAGAUCAGUGGCUGAUGAAGAGAAGCUCUUUUCAUUGACCUGGGCUCACACGCUACAAUGAUGGGGGAAGAGGUCAGCGCAGUGUGAUGAUUCAGAGCUGACUGGACCCAGGGCCCCCGCCAACCCACCGCCUAGUCCAUGGGGCAC